rnacentral:rRNA from 1 species
AGCGAACGCUGGCGGCAGGCCUAACACAUGCAAGUCGAACGAAGUCUUCGGACUUAGUGGCGGACGGGUGAGUAACACGUGGGAACGUGCCUUUAGGUUCGGAAUAACUCAGGGAAACUUGUGCUAAUACCGAAUGUGCCCUUCGGGGGAAAGAUUUAUCGCCUUUAGAGCGGCCCGCGUCUGAUUAGCUAGUUGGUGAGGUAAAGGCUCACCAAGGCGACGAUCAGUAGCUGGUCUGAGAGGAUGAUCAGCCACAUUGGGACUGAGACACGGCCCAAACUCCUACGGGAGGCAGCAGUGGGGAAUCUUGCGCAAUGGGCGAAAGCCUGACGCAGCCAUGCCGCGUGAAUGAUGAAGGUCUUAGGAUUGUAAAAUUCUUUCACCGGGGACGAUAAUGACUGUAGCCGGAGAAGAAGCCCCGGCUAACUUCGUGCCAGCAGCCGCCGUAA